AACGCAAAUUGCACUCGAGGCCUCGGCCGAGAGUAUGCCUGCCUCAGUGUCGGUUCACACCCUCGCGUCCCCCUUCGCUGGGGGACUGCGGACCUGGCUGUCCCGGUGCGAAACGACCGGGUCCGCUGAAGAACAGAGGCUUCGCCGGGACCCAACCUCGGGUGGGCAACAGUCUGGUAGGCGAGCGAUCGCAUGCCGCUGUUGGCCUCGUUGAGCCCCCGCGGAGAAGCAGGAAACACCAAAUCGUUCGACCUGAGUUCAGGCAAGAGCACCCGCUGAACUUAA
rnacentral:misc_RNA from 1 species